UCCCUGGUGGUCGAGUGGUUAAGACUAUGCAUUUCCACUGCAUGGGGCAAGGGUUCAAGCCCUGGUCGAGGAA
rfam:TPA: Bos taurus chromosome 17, whole genome shotgun sequence.